rnacentral:rRNA from 1 species
GUGGGGAAUCUUGCGCAAUGGGCGAAAGCCUGACGCAGCCAUGCCGCGUGAAUGAUGAAGGUCUUAGGAUUGUAAAAUUCUUUCACCGGGGACGAUAAUGACGGUACCCGGAGAAGAAGCUCCGGCUAACUUCGUGCCAGCAGCCGCGGUAAUACGAAGGGGGCUAGCGUUGCUCGGAAUUACUGGGCGUAAAGGGCGCGUAGGCGGACAGCUUAGUCAGAGGUGAAAGCCCAGGGCUCAACCGUGGAAUUGCCUUUGAUACUGGCUGUCUUGAGUUUGGGAGAGGUGAGUGGAACUCCGAGUGUAGAGGUGAAAUUCGUAGAUAUUCGGAAGAACACGAGUGGCGAAGGCGACUCACUGGCCCGUUACUGACGCUGAGGCGCGAAGGCGUGGGGAGCAAACAGGAUUAGAAACCCGAGUAGUCC